rnacentral:rRNA from 1 species
ACGCUCGACACCUACGGGAGGCAGCAGUGGGGAAUAUUGCACAAUGGGGGAAACCCUGAUGCAGCGACGCCGCGUGAAGGAAGAAGUGUCUCGGUAUGUAAACUUCUAUCAGCAGGGAAGAAAAUGACGGUACCUGACUAAGAAGCCCCGGCUAACUACGUGUCAGCAGCCGCGGUAAUCUGAGCGGGCUGGCAAGGC